rnacentral:rRNA from 1 species
AUUGAACGCUGGCGGCAUGCCUUACACAUGCAAGUCGAACGGUAACGGGCCUUCGGGUGCCGACGAGUGGCGCACGGGUGAGUAAUACAUCGGAACGUGCCCGAUCGUGGGGGAUAACGAGGCGAAAGCUUUGCUAAUACCGCAUACGAUCUACGGAUGAAAGCAGGGGACCGCAAGGCCUUGCGCGGACGGAGCGGCCGAUGGCAGAUUAGGGAGUUGGUGGGAUAAAAGCUUACCAAGCCGACGAACUGUAGCUGGUCUGAGAGGAUGAUCAGCCACACUGGGACUGAGACACGGCACAGACUCCUACGGGAGGCAGCAGUGGAGAAUUUUGGACAAUGGGCGCAAGCCUGCUCCAGCCUUGUCGCGUGCAGGCUGAAGGCCUUCGGGUUGUAAACUGCUUUUGUACGGAACGAAAAGCCUUCUUUUAAUACAGGAGGGUCAUGACGGUACCGUAAGAAUAAGCACCGGCUAACUACGUG